CGCCGCGUGAGCGAUGAAGGCCUUCGGGUCGUAAAGCUCUGUUGUUAGGGAAGAACAAGUAUCGGAGUAACUGCCGGUACCUUGACGGUACCUAACCAGAAAGCCACGGCUAACUACGUGCCAGCAGCCGCGGUAAUACGUAGGUGGCAAGCGUUGUCCGGAAUUAUUGGGCGUAAAGCGCGCGCAGGCGGUCCUUUAAGUCUGAUGUGAAAGCCCACGGCUCAACCGUGGAGGGUCAUUGGAAACUGGGGGACUUGAGUGCAGAAGAGGAAAGCGGAAUUCCACGUGUAGCGGUGAAAUGCGUAGAGAUGUGGAGGAACACCAGUGGCGAAGGCGGCUUUCUGGUCUGUAACUGACGCUGAGGCGCGAAAGCGUGGGGAGCAAACAGGAUUAGAUACCCUGGUAGUCCACGCCGUAAACGAUGAGUGCUAAGUGUUAGAGGGUUUCCGCCCUUUAGUGCUGCAGCUAACGCAUUAAGCACUCCG
rnacentral:rRNA from 2 species